rnacentral:sRNA from 1 species
GUUUCCUAUCAAAACGUCGGCGGCGUAUUGAUCCACAACAACACGGUUUCGCCGUCGUGCCUGUUCGACCAGGCAUGGCGGCGGCGGCUCU